UCCUAAGUAUCUUAGUGGUCAUGGUGCUUGCCUUUAGGGCAAGUUGAGCUCUACAGCUCUGGUUCAAUUCCAGCCGUGCCUG